CCUACGGGUGGCAGCAGUGAGGAAUAUUGGUCACUGGACGAGAGUCUGAACCAGCCAAGUAGCGUGAAGGAUGACUGCCCUAUGGGUUGUAAACUUCUUUUAUAUGGGAAUAAUAUGUUCCACGUGUGGGAUUUUGUAUGUACCAUAUGAAUAAGGAUCGGCUAAAUCCGUGCCAGCAGCCGCGGUAAUACGGAGGAUCCGAGCGUUAUUCGGAUUUAUUGGGUUUAAAGGGAGCGUAGGUGGAUUGUUAAGUCAGUUGUGAAAGUUUGCGGCUCAACCGUCAAAUUGCAGUUGGAACUGGCAGUCUUGAGUACAGUAGAGGUAGGCGGAAUUCGUGGUGUAGCGGUGAAAUGCUUAGAUAUCACGAAGAACUCCGAUUGCGAAGGCAGUUCACUGGACUGCAACUGACACUGAGGCUCGAAAGUGUGGGUAUCAAACAGGAUUAGAUACCCGGGUAGUC
rnacentral:rRNA from 1 species